ensembl:lncRNA
UACGAAGCAAAAGGGGGGGAAUUGUAUCUAACGCGUGUGAGAGACAUACCGUGAGCUACUUCGAGACCCGGGCUUAGGCCCGAGUCUCUCGGCGGGUCUGCCUAUCAGCUCUGGCCUCAAUCUGAACUCUGUCCUGUGCCGUGUUCCAAUAUCCAUACUUCCAUGAGUACACUUAAGCGACGUACACUAUCCGCACUCACUAAGUGCACCAAUUUUCGGAUGUCAGUGUUGUUCCAAAUCCAAUACUCCGUGGUGCACUUACCGGAAGUGACAAUCACGACAGCCAUCGCUGCUCGUCACCCGCAAAAUACAUCCCGCUUUGAGGGCUGAAAAAAUACAGUUUAAAAAUCUUUUGUUUGUCAAUCCUGCAAUAUGGGUCCGUUAACGCAGCAAAUGUUGAGAAUGCACCGACGUCGUCAUCUACAUUACCUCCUCCUGACGGUGACAGACAAUGCUACGCCUCCCAACGCCAGGCAGUAUUGUCAGCUCAAUGAUGCAGUGCCGAUUCUCAAGGUUUAUUUUGAUGGCCAGAGUGACAUGCAAGUUGACUUCCGCUUGUCAAGGGGAUCUUUUAAUGCCCUUAUGGAAGCCAUGGGGAGCAACGCAGACCACGGCUGGGAUCCGGAGAUCGCCUGCCUGGUCUUCCUGUUCUGGUUGGCCAGUGGUACAUCCUACCGUGUCGUCUCCAGGGCCUUUGAUAUGCCCAGAACAUCCUUCCACCGUCCUAUCCACACCACCAGUGCAAAGAUUGCCUCCCUGUUUGCUCAAACAAGUCAACCAUCCUACAGAGGAAGAGAUGGUGACUGUGGGCGCAGGAUUUGCGCGCAUGGCAGGGUCGGCGGCCUUCAACAGGGUGGUUGGGAGCAUUGACGGCUGCCACGUCAGAGUAAAGCCCCCUUCACAGGAUGCCGACUGCUACCUGAACCGUAAACUUUUUUAUUCGGUUCAGCUUCAGGCUGUGGUUGACCAAACAGCAAAAUUCCUAGAUGUGUGUUUGGGGUACACCGGGUCAGUGCAUGACUCGAGGGUACUAAAGAACAGCCCCCUGUACCUAGAGAAACAGUACCCUCCACCAGGGUACUGACUCAUCGGGGAUGGUGGGUACCCCUGCCUGUCCUACCCCAUGACCCUGAUGACCCCCUACCGUCAGCCUCUCAGGAGCCAGCUUCAGGCAGCGUACAACAGCCGACUGACAAAGGCCAGAGUAGUGGUGGAGCGGGCCUUUGGGAUCUUGAAGACCAGAUGGAGGGCCAUAUUUCUGAAGGCGCUGGAGGUGGACGUCCUGUUCGUCCCGGAGGUCAUCCUCUGCUGCACCAUACUCGACAAUAUUUGCCUGAGCCAGGGAGACGUGCUGGACCCGGAGGACGGCGAGGACAGCGAGGCUGGAGCUGCAGAGGAAGAGGAUCCAAGACGGGAGGCAGCACCCCCAGGUUUCUUCUACUGCAGAGCACACUGCUUCGCUGUACAGUUCAGCAUGGAAAGGAAAGCAUGGAGUUCUUAACCACCAAUGAGGGUGCAAAAAAGGAGCCAGAAUGAAGCCUAAGGCAAAGAAGAAGGCAGCAAUGGCUAGAAUCUAAGAAGAACAUGAUGCAAUCAGAUAAUGAAAGUGUGGCACCCAGUUGCAGCAGCAAUAGCAGUGGAUUAGGAUCAGUGUCGGUUGUUGACUUUCUCGAAGCAAAGAUCCAGUGGCAAGACAAAAAAAUUAAAGAGCUUGAAAAAGAGCGCAACUUUCUUCACUCACAAGUCCUGAAGGAGAAAUCAAACUACACUGUGGAAGAUGAGGAGGAUGAUGACAUGGACGAAGGUGACCUUCUGGUGUCUUCUCCAAACAUCAGCGACUCCUCAGAGAGAGAUGCCAGCCCAGAAGCCAGAAGCCAGAAGCCAAAAACGCCAUCGUUAAUCUCUGUCACCCAAAUGGACAUCAUCUCUGGCUCUGUCUGGGCGAGCUCACAUAAGAGUCAAAGGGCCAGAUGAAGUCGUGGAAAGAUACAAACGCGUGAUGAAAACAUUUAAGUGUGUGUGCACCAUGACGGAGGCAUUCAACAUCAACAACGUGGAACGGGGGACCAUAAAAAUGACUGCUCCAAUCGCGGAACUAAAGAAUGCAGACCCUGACACGUUCCUGACCUUAAAG